rnacentral:rRNA from 1 species
CAGUAGCCACGGUAAUACGUAGGUGGCAAGCGUUGUCCGGAAUUAUUGGGCGUAAAGGGCUCGCAGGCGGUUUCUUAAGUCUGAUGUGAAAGCCCCCGGCUCAACCGGGGAGGGUCAUUGGAAACUGGGAAACUUGAGUGCAGAAGAGGAGAGCGGAAUUCCACGUGUAGCGGUGAAAUGCGUAGAGAUGUGGAGGAACACCAGUGGCGAAGGCGACUCUCUGGUCUGUAACUGACGCUGAGGAGCGAAAGCGUGGGGAGCGAACAGGAUUAGAUACCCCGGUAGUCCCUGUCUCUUAUAC